UGUCAAGAUAAAAUCUGAGCCGUUGGUUUUAGAUAGUGAGAUAUGGAUCGUCCUUCCGUAUCUAAUUAAACCCAAGCCCAGACCCUGUCGUAUCUUCAGCGCAACAGCGCCGUCUACCUUCUCUCUGCCUAGCGUCGACGUCCGACCCAACCUGCAACAAUCUUCUGCAAGGAUCUGACAGGCAUACAGCGGUUCUCUGGUCGUCACCGGCGUUCUGGUGAUGGUAGCUUGCCCUAUCUCCGCCGGAAAAGAGAGAACCGAAGGCUCGAAACCUUAACAGUUCUGGGUUUCAUCAACCACGUCGUGGGCUCGUAGCCACCUCCUCUCUCUCUCUGUGACUUUGGUUUUUGGAUUCCGUUUGGAGUUAGUGUUGAAGUAUGUGGCUUUAGUUUCAGUUUUGUUGGAGAUUGAAGCUAGGCUCCAAUUAUACCCCUUGAAAGCUCAUAGAGUAUAGGUAAAGGAAGAGGGAGGAUUCUGUUCUACUGUGUUCGUUGGAAUGCCUUUUGUUAUUCUGUAUCAAAAGGAAACCCUCGUUUUGUGUUGCUGAGACAUGCACCUAAGGAGAAUGCCUUUGCAACCGAAGUGAGCCGAGGAGCCGAGUAACGUGCCAGCUAUACUAAUUGAGUGCCAGCACGUAGCUGUGAUCCAUUUUGUUGACAGGUACUGAACUAUGACUGGCCAUCAUAUUAGCAAAUAAACGUAUUCCUAAGCUUAAUGUGCGAAAACAAUGAGGAAUUAGCUCAAGGAGUACUAAAAAAGGUGCUAACAGCAGUGAGACUCCUGCGGGUAGUAGAAUUGGGAGGUUGGAGUUUGAGAGGAUCGAUGUGGUCAGGCCAAAAGGGACACACCAAGUGACGCUUAGUUACAUGGCUUAAAUGGUAAGGGCUCAAGGUAAUACUUAUUUUUGUAUCAAAUAUGUUAGAAAAAACAUUUUACUGGUACCAUUUGUCAUUGUUUUCAGAUGAAAUUCAGGCUCUCUUUGGUAUUUGAUAUUUGCAUUCUGGUAUUAUGUUUCUGCCAAUCACUGAGUUUGCUUCUCUAUGUUUCUUGCAGCUGUUUUUUUUUUUUCACUUUUACUUCAAGUUCACAGUUCUACAAAUUAGAAUUGGUAUGUGGUUCCAUUCCCCUUGUUAUAAGCUACAUUUGAGUAGCAUAUACAUAGAAGGCUCACUCCCUUUACAUUGGUAUCUUCAAGUUUACAAUGGUACAAAUUAUAAUUGGUAUGCUGUUUCACCAUGUCCCUGUGUCAAAAUAUUGAUAUUGGUUUUGUAAUUAACAAGACACUGUGAAGGAGUUACUUGGAGAAAAAUUUACACACUGUGUUUAAUUUUUGCUUUCAUUUGGUUUGGCAUAUUCCAAAAUUAAUGGAGAAAUUCCUUCAAGUGAUGAAGCAACAUCGGAUCAUCAAGGACUGCUUGACAGACUGCAAUUAUAUGUUGUUGUUAAGCAUAAGGUUCAAGGAGAUGGUAACUGUCAGAUCAAUUGCAUCAGUCACCAUACCACCGCACAGGUGUAUGCUGCACAACUUUGUUGGAAACCUUGAGCAUGGAGAUAAAUUAAGGCUGUGAGUGGAAGAACCAACCCUGAAACAAUAGCAUGGCUGGCUUGCUGUCUGAAGGAUUUAUUGACAUAGUGUGAGAUGUUGCUUGCAAUUACUACCAAUGAAGUCUUUAUGAAACUUGUUAGUUCAAGUUUCAGUGUAAUGCAAAUUUUAGAUGUACUUCAUACAACAAUUGAGUGAUUGCUAGGUCUAGGAUUGCAAGAAGCCAAGAAGGCAUAUAUAAAUUGAUUGUACUUUUGAUUGAUGAUAUAUAUAAUGCCAAUUGGA